GGAUGGGUGCGUAACGCGUAUGCAACUUGCCUCACAGUGGAGAAUAACCCGGAGAAAUCCGGACUAAUGCUCCAUACACUCUUAGUACGCCUGUACAUGAGAGGAAAGAUUUAUCGCUGUGAGAUAGGCAUGCGUCCUAUUAGGUAGUUGGUGAGGUAACGGCUCACCAAGCCGACGAUAGGUAGGGGUGCUGAGAGGCAGAUCCCCCACAUUGGGACUGAGACACGGCCCAAACUCC
rnacentral:rRNA from 1 species